GAUGAACGCUGGCGGCGUGCCUAAUACAUGCAAGUCGAGCGAACAGAUGAGGAGCUUGCUCCUCUGACGUUAGCGGCGGACGGGUGAGUAACACGUGGAUAACCUACCUAUAAGACUGGGAUAACUUCGGGAAACCGGAGCUAAUACCGGAUAAUAUAUUGAACCGCAUGGUUCAAUAGUGAAAGACGGUUUUGCUGUCACUUAUAGAUGGAUCCGCGCCGCAUUAGCUAGUUGGUAAGGUAACGGCUUACCAAGGCAACGAUGCGUAGCCGACCUGAGAGGGUGAUCGGCCACACUGGAACUGAGACACGGUCCAGACUCCUACGGGAGGCAGCAGUAGGGAAUCUUCCGCAAUGGGCGAAAGCCUGACGGAGCAACGCCGCGUGAGUGAUGAAGGUCUUCGGAUCGUAAAACUCUGUUAUUAGGGAAGAACAAAUGCGUAAGUAACUAUGCAUGUCUUGACGGUACCUAAUCAGAAAGCCACGGCUAACUACGUG
rnacentral:rRNA from 1 species